GGUGAUUUUGCAACUUUCAUACUAUGAAAUUCAUAGCAUCUGACACACAUUGGCAGCUUCUGGGAGCGGUUGCGGAGAGGACUUCGCAUUCGCUUCGCAACCAGGACAGCCGGUUGCUGGUGCGGCCCAUGUAUGCCCCGUUCCUUUUC